rnacentral:rRNA from 1 species
GUCUACAGCCAUACCACCCUGAACUCACCCAAUGUCUUCUGAUCUCAGAAGCUAAGCAGGGUGGAGCCUGGGUAGUACUUGGGUGGGAGAAUACUUUUGUUGAUUUUUGUCAAAUUCUGGUUAUCAUAGCCA